rnacentral:sRNA from 1 species
CAGCCUCGGGUAACCUCCUACGGACUGCUAACAUUGAGAUCUGUAGGUAACAAGGUUCCGUUUAAGCGUUACUAAAAAGCGUCCUUUCGGGGGUUAAACACCGUUCUUUUUUUUCUACGGGAGCCUUAGCGGGGCCUUACCGGGUUUCGAUUCUAGACGACUAUAAACAAAAAGAAUAUCGCUGUGUCCACACGUUUUACCGAGAAGGUUGACGCCCGGGCAACACUUUUAAUCUGCGGGGACCCUCUUUAAAGAUGGUUGACCAUUCAAACGGCACCAAACGGGCCACGGCCGCCGAAUUGGCCGGUCGUCGGCUCGUGGCCGGGGGCAAGGCGACCUCCGGGUAAGGUUAUAGACCGAGCCAUCGCUGCCGGCGUCUUGUUACGCGGGGGUAGAAAGAGCGAUCCGCAGUCUGGGGGCGCCUGAGCGCACGCCUGCGGCCCCCGAUCCACAGGCCAGAUGGGAGUGGGUUGGCGGGCAAACGCUUGCCCGUCGGCUUGAGAUAUGGUCGAGCUCUCUGCUUAAAUGUAGGGACUAGAACGGCCUUCGUCCUAGGGGGCGCGGGGGCGCGAGCGCGCUCCUUUACCCCUAAGGCAAGGGUCGGCUGUUUGGCGUUCCGUAGGUGAACCUGCGGAAGGAUCAUUACCGAGUUGGGCCCGCGGGGUGGCGGCCCCCCGUCCCCCCCGCGGCCAACGUCCCAUUUCCGAUGCUGUUUGGCGUCGAGGCGCCGUAGGGCCCCCGGAGCCCGGGGGUUCCGCACGACAGGUCCACGAACGAAGAUUCGUUAACCGAAACCAGAGUUCUCUCUCUGAGACUUUUACCGAGCUUAAAUGCGUUUUGAAAACUUUCAACAACGGAUCUCUUGGUUCUGGCAUCGAUGAAGAACGCAGCAAAAUGCGAAAAGUAAUGUGAAUUGCAGGAUUCAGUGAACCAUCGAGUCUUUGAACGCACAUUGCGCCCCCCGGUAUCCCGGAGGGCACGCCUGUUCGAGCGUCAUUUCAACCACAGUCGGGUCUCCGUGCCCGGUGUUGGGGGAGACGUGGCCCGCCGCGUCGGGCCCCCCCGAAAGCGUGUGGCAGGCGGUGGCGUCCGGCCCCGGUGAAGUCGCGGAAGACCGCGGGGGCGCGGCGGCUACUGGCCCCGAACAGCCCGUGACACUUAGGUUGACCUCGGAUCAGGCGGGGGUACCCGCUGAACUUAAGCAUAUCAAUAAGCGGAGGAAAAGAAACCAAC